rnacentral:tRNA from 1 species
GCCUGUGACAAAAAAAGGCACAUGCGCCAGACUUGGAAUCUGGUGACACAGGUCGUGUAGGUUCGAGUCCUAUCAGGCGCA